AGUUAUAUGUUUAUUUUGAAACAGGACGUUUUAUUUUGAAACAGGAAAUGUCUUGUAACUUGUUAGGGGACUUGUAAUCAGGAAGUGAAGGAAGCGCAUGGCUCAGUUUACAAUCCAGUUGAGUCUGCUUGCAUCUUAUGCCUUUUGAUGGCAUCGUUGUUUUACUCUUUCUUACGUCAAUAAACCUGUGGACAACGGACAACUGUCUUCAGAGUCGUGAUGUCAGGAAAGAGUUUGUCUAACUGCCAAGGUGUAUCACGGCACAUAUACUGAGGGCAGCAUAGU